UACGGAGGGGGCGAGCGUUAUUCGGAAUUAUUGGGCGUAAAGGGCGCGUAGGCGGCUGAACAAGUCAAAGGUGAAAUCCCUCGGCUCAACUGAGGAACUGCCUUUGAAACUGUUCGGCUUGAGGCCGGGAGGGGGUAGCGGAAUUCCCAGUGUAGCGGUGAAAUGCGUAGAUAUUGGGAGGAACACCAGUGGCGAAGGCGGCUACCUGGACCGACAUUGACGCUGAACGGCGAAAGCUAGGGGAGCAAACGGG
rnacentral:rRNA from 1 species